UGCCAAUGAUGAUAAAAUUAGGGCUUGUUUCUCAAAACAUUCGUAGUUAUCACCUAAGGUCUUUUGCCCUGGUAGGCCUGAGAUCUAAUGCUGUCAGAUCCUUCCUUGGAUGUCUAUGGGCA